GGAGAGGUAGCGAAGUGGUUGGAACGCGGCGCACUCGAAAUGCGUUUACGGUAAUCCGUACAUGGGUUCGAAUCCCAUCCUCUCCGCCA
rnacentral:tRNA from 1 species